CCUACGGGUGGCAGCAGUCGAGAAUCAUUCACAAUGGGGGAAACCCUGAUGGUGCGACGCCGCGUGGGGGAAUGAAGGUCUUCGGAUUGUAAACCCCUGUCAUGUGGGAGCAAAUUAAAAAGAUAGUACCACAAGAGGAAGAGACGGCUAACUCUGUGCCAGCAGCCGCGGUAAUACAGAGGUCUCAAGCGUUGUUCGGAAUCACUGGGCGUAAGGCGUGCGUAGGCUGUUUCGUAAGUCGUGUGUGAAAGGCGCGGGCUCAACCCGCGGACGGCACAUGAUACUGCGAGACUAGAGUAAUGGAGGGGGAACCGGAAUUCUCGGUGUAGCAGUGAAAUGCGUAGAUAUCGAGAGGAACACUCGUGGCGAAGGCGGGUUCCUGGACAGUAACUGACGCUGAGGCACGAAGGCCAGGGGAGCGAAAGGGAUUAGAUACCUGGGUAGUC
rnacentral:rRNA from 1 species